AACGAACGCUGGCGGCAUGCCUAACACAUGCAAGUCGAACGAACCCUUCGGGGUUAGUGGCGCACGGGUGCGUAACGCGUGGGAAUCUGCCCUUUGCUUCGGAAUAACAGUUAGAAAUGACUGCUAAUACCGGAUGAUGUCUUCGGACCAAAGAUUUAUCGGCAAAGGGAUGAGCCCGCGUAGGAUUAGGUAGUUGGUGGGGUAAAGGCCUACCAAGCCGACGAUCCUUAGCUGGUCUGAGAGGAUGAUCAGCCACACUGGGACUGAGACACGGCCCAGACUCCUACGGGAGGCAGCAGUGGGGAAUAUUGGACAAUGGGCGCAAGCCUGAUCAGCAAUGCCGCGUGAGUGAUGAAGGCCUUCGGGUCGUAAAGCUCUUUUACCAGGGAUGAUAAUGACAGUACCUGGAGAAUAAGCUCCGGCUAACUCCGUGCCAGCCGCCGCGGUAACAC
rnacentral:rRNA from 1 species